rnacentral:rRNA from 1 species
ACGUAGGGUGCGAGCGUUAAUCGGAAUUACUGGGCGUAAAGCGUGCGCAGGCGGUUAUAUAAACCAGAUGUGAAAUCCCCGGGCUCAACCUGGGGACUGCAUUUGAGACUGUAUGACUAGAGUGUGGCAGAGGGGGGUGGAAUUCCACGUGUAGCAGUGGAAUGCGUAGAGAUGUGGAGUAACACAGAUGGCGUUGGCAGCCUCGUGGGUGAAUACUGACGCUCAUGCACUGAUGCGUGGGGAGCAAACAG